ACUUUGUUGUAGUAUAGUGGUAAGUAUUCCUGCCUGUCAUGCGGGUGACCCGGGUUCGAUCCCCGACAACGGUGC
rnacentral:tRNA from 1 species